ACGCUGGCGGCGUGCCUAAUACAUGCAAGUAGAACGCUGAAGAGAGGAGCUUGCUCUUCUUGGAUGAGUUGCGAACGGGUGAGUAACGCGUAGGUAACCUGCCUUGUAGCGGGGGAUAACUAUUGGAAACGAUAGCUAAUACCGCAUAACAAUGGAUGACACAUGUCAUUUAUUUGAAAGGGGCAAUUGCUCCACUACAAGAUGGACCUGCGUUGUAUUAGCUAGUAGGUGAGGUAAUGGCUCACCUAGGCGACGAUACAUAGCCGACCUGAGAGGGUGAUCGGCCACACUGGGACUGAGACACGGCCCAGACUCCUACGGGAGGCAGCAGUAGGGAAUCUUCGGCAAUGGGGGCAACCCUGACCGAGCAACGCCGCGUGAGUGAAGAAGGUUUUCGGAUCGUAAAGCUCUGUUGUAAGUCAAGAACGGGUGUGAGAGUGGAAAGUUCACACUGUGACGGUAGCUUACCAGAAAGGGACGGCUAACUACGUGCCAGCAGCCGCGGUAAUACGUAGGUCCCGAGCGUUGUCCGGAUUUAUUGGGCGUAAAGCGAGCGCAGGCGGUUUGAUAAGUCUGAAGUUAAAGGCUGUGGCUCAACCAUAGUUCGCUUUGGAAACUGUCAAACUUGAGUGCAGAAGGGGAGAGUGGAAUUCCAUGUGUAGCGGUGAAAUGCGUAGAUAUAUGGAGGAACACCGGUGGCGAAAGCGGCUCUCUGGUCUGUAACUGACGCUGAGGCUCGAAAGCGUGGGGAGCGAACAGGAUUAGAUACCCUGGUAGUCCACGCCGUAAACGAUGAGUGCUAGGUGUUGGAUCCUUUCCGGGAUUCAGUGCCGCAGCUAACGCAUUAAGCACUCCGCCUGGGGAGUACGACCGCAAGGUUGAAACUCAAAGGAAUUGACGGGGGCCCGCACAAGCGGUGGAGCAUGUGGUUUAAUUCGAAGCAACGCGAAGAACCUUACCAGGUCUUGACAUCCCGAUGCUAUUUCUAGAGAUAGAAAGUUACUUCGGUACAUCGGUGACAGGUGGUGCAUGGUUGUCGUCAGCUCGUGUCGUGAGAUGUUGGGUUAAGUCCCGCAACGAGCGCAACCCUUAUUGUUAGUUGCCAUCAUUCAGUUGGGCACUCUAGCGAGACUGCCGGUAAUAAACCGGAGGAAGGUGGGGAUGACGUCAAAUCAUCAUGCCCCUUAUGACCUGGGCUACACACGUGCUACAAUGGUUGGUACAACGAGUUGCGAGUCGGUGACGGCGAGCUAAUCUCUUAAAGCCAAUCUCAGUUCGGAUUGUAGGCUGCAACUCGCCUACAUGAAGUCGGAAUCGCUAGUAAUCGCGGAUCAGCACGCCGCGGUGAAUACGUUCCCGGGCCUUGUACACACCGCCCGUCACACCACGAGAGUUUGUAACACCCGAAGUCGGUGAGGUAACCUUUUGGAGCCAGCCGCCUAAGGUGGGACAGAUGAUUGGGGUGA
rnacentral:rRNA from 1 species